UACGGGGGGGGGUAAGCGUUGUUCGGAAUUACUGGGCGUAAAGGGCUCGUAGGCGGCCAACUAAGUCAGACGUGAAAUCCCUCAGCUUAACUGGGGAACUGCGUCUGAUACUGGAUGGCUUGGAUUCGGGAGAGGAAUGCGGAAUUCCAGGUGUAGCGGUGAAAUGCGUAGAUAUCUGGAGGAACACCGGUGGCGAAGGCGGCCACCUGGACGGUAACUGACGCUGAGACGCGAAAGCGUGGGGAGCAAACAGG
rnacentral:rRNA from 1 species